UACGUAGGGUGCGAGCGUUGUCCGGAAUUAUUGGGCGUAAAGAGCUUGUAGGCGGUCUGUCGCGUCUGCUGUGAAAUUUCGGGGCUCAACCCCGAACUUGCAGUGGGUACGGGCAGACUAGAGUGUGGUAGGGGAGACUGGAAUUCCUGGUGUAGCGGUGAAAUGCGCAGAUAUCAGGAAGAACACCAAUGGCGAAAGCAGCUCUCUGGGACGGUACUGACGCUGAGACGCGAAAGCGUGGGGAGCGAACAGG
rnacentral:rRNA from 1 species